AUGAACGCUGGCGGCGUGCCUAAUACAUGCAAGUCGAGCGAACAGAUAAGGAGCUUGCUCCUUUGACGUUAGCGGCGGACGGGUGAGUAACACGUGGGUAACCUACCUAUAAGACUGGGAUAACUUCGGGAAACCGGAGCUAAUACCGGAUAAUAUUUCGAACCGCAUGGUUCGAUAGUGAAAGAUGGUUUUGCUAUCACUUAUAGAUGGACCCGCGCCGUAUUAGCUAGUUGGUAAGGUAACGGCUUACCAAGGCGACGAUACGUAGCCGACCUGAGAGGGUGAUCGGCGACACUGGAACUGAGACACGGUCCAGACUCCUACGGGAGGCAGCAGUAGGGAAUCUUCCGCAAUGGGCGAAAGCCUGACGGAGCAACGCCGCGUGAGUGAUGAAGGUCUUCGGAUCGUAAAACUCUGUUAUUAGGGAAGAACAUACGUGUAAGUAACUGUGCACGUCUUGACGGUACCUAAUCAGAAAGCCACGGCUAACUACGUG
rnacentral:rRNA from 1 species